AACGAACGCUGGCGGCAGGCUUAACACAUGCAAGUCGAGCGCCCCGCAAGGGGAGCGGCAGACGGGUGAGUAACGCGUGGGAACCUACCCUUUCCUGCGGAAUAGCUCCGGGAAACUGGAAUUAAUACCGCAUACGCCCUUCGGGGGAAAGAUUUAUCGGGGAAGGAUGGGCCCGCGUUGGAUUAGCUAGUUGGUGGGGUAAAGGCCUACCAAGGCGACGAUCCAUAGCUGGUCUGAGAGGAUGAUCAGCCACAUUGGGACUGAGACACGGCCCAAACUCCUACGGGAGGCAGCAGUGGGGAAUAUUGGACAAUGGGCGCAAGCCUGAUCCAGCCAUGCCGCGUGAGUGAUGAAGGUCUUAGGAUUGUAAAGCUCUUUCACCGGGGACGAUAAUGACGGUACCCGGAGAAGAAGCCCCGGCUAACUUCGUGCCAGCCGCCGCAGUAACAC
rnacentral:rRNA from 1 species